rnacentral:rRNA from 1 species
UGGGGAAUCUUGUGCAAUGGGCGAAAGCCUGACACAGCCACGCCGCGUGCGGGAAGAAGGCCUUCGGGUCGUAAACCGCUUUCAGCAGGAACGAAAAUGACGGUACCUGCAGAAGAAGGAGCGGCCAACUACGUGCCAGCAGCCGCGGUGACACGUAGGCUCCAAGCGUUGUCCGGAUUUAUUGGGCGUAAAGAGCUCGUAGGCGGUUCAGCAAGUCGGGUGUGAAAACUCUGGGCUUAACCCAGAGCCUGCACCCGAAACUGCUGUGACUAGAGUUUGGUAGGGGAGAGGGGAAUUCCUGGUGUAGCGGUGAAAUGCGCAGAUAUCAGGAGGAACACCGGUGGCGAAGGCGCCUCUCUGGGCCAAUACUGACGCUGAGGAGCGAAAGCGUGGGUAGCAAACAGG